rnacentral:rRNA from 1 species
UACGGAGGGUGCAAGCGUUAAUCGGAAUUACUGGGCGUAAAGCGUGCGUAGGCGGUUCGUUAAGUCUGUUGUGAAAGCCCCGGGCUCAACCUGGGAAUGGCAAUGGAUACUGGCGAGCUAGAGUGUGUCAGAGGAUGGUGGAAUUCCUGGUGUAGCGGUGAAAUGCGCAGAUAUCAGGAAGAACACCCGUGGCUAAGGCGGCUCUCUAGUACGGUACUGACGCUGAGACGCGAAAGCGUGGGGAGCGAACAGG